rnacentral:rRNA from 2 species
CGGUUGAUGUGUCGUUUUCAAGCAGGCAGAUCCAUUUUUCUGCCACCGAAUACAUUAGCAUGGGAUAAUGGAAUAGGACCCUGUCCUCCUAUUUUCAGUUGGUUUUGGCAGCGCGAGGACUAGGGUAAUGAUUAAUAGGGAUAGUUGGGGGCAUUAAUAUUUAAUUGUCAGAGGUGAAAUUCUUGGAUUUAUGAAAGAUUAACUUCUGCGAAAGCAUCUGCCAAGGAUGUUUUCAUUAAUCAAGAACGAAAGUUAGGGGAUCGAAGACGAUCAGAUACCGUCGUAGUCUUAACCAUAAACGAUGCCGACCAGCGAUUAGGAGACGUUGAAUACAAAACACCACCAUCGGUUGCGGUCGUCCUUGGCGUCUCGGUUUCGGCCGGGGCGCGGGGACGGUUUAGCCCGGUGGCACCGGUGAAUGACUCCCUAGCAGCUUGUGAGAA